rnacentral:rRNA from 1 species
GAAGAACGCAGCGAAAUGCGAUAAGUAAUGUGAAUUGCAGAAUUCAGUGAAUCAUCGAAUCUUUGAACGCACCUUGCGCUCCUUGGUAUUCCGAGGAGCAUGCCUGUUUGAGUGUCAUUUAAUUCUCAACCUUAUUAGCUUUUGUUGAUAAUGGCUUGGAUGUGGGGGUUUUCUUUUGCUGGCUUUCUUCGGAUGUCAGCUCCCCUUAAAUGUAUUAGCCGGUGCCCUGCGUGGACUAUCCGUUGGUGUGAUAAUUAUCUACGCCGUUGGAUGUCUGCAAAUAGGUUUUGCACUGCUUCUAACUGUCUGUUCAUUUGGACAAUACAUGACAAUUUGACCUCAAAUCAGGUAGGACUACCCGCUGAACUUAAGCAUAUCAAUAAGCGGAGGAAAAGAAACU